UAAAGGGUCCGUAGGCGGUUUGGUAAGUCAGUGGUGAAAGCCCAUCGCUUAACGAUGGAACGGCCAUUGAUACUGCCAGACUUGAAUUACUAGGAAGUAACUAGAAUAUGUAGUGUAGCGGUGAAAUGCUUAGAUAUUACAUGGAAUACCAAUUGCGAAGGCAGGUUACUACUAGUGGAUUGACGCUGAUGGACGAAAGCGUGGGGAGCGAACAGGAUUAGAUACCCCAU
rnacentral:rRNA from 1 species